UACGUAUGUGGCAAGCGUUGUUCGGAAUCACUGGGCAUAAAGAGUUCGUAGGCGGAUAAAUUAGUUGGGUGUGAAAUCCCGGGGCUCACCCCCGGAACUGCACUCAAUACUGUUUAUCUGGAGUCCUUCAGGGGUAAGUGGAAUUCCAUGUGUAGCGGUGAAAUGCGUAGAUAUAUGGGAGAACGCCAAUGGCGAAGGCAGCUUACUGGGGAGUGACUGACGCUGAGGAACGAAAGUUAGGGUAUCGAACGGG
rnacentral:rRNA from 1 species